CCUACGGGUGGCAGCAGUGAGGAAUAUUGGUCAAUGGGCGCGAGCCUGAACCAGCCAAGUAGCGUGAAGGAUGACUGCCCUACGGGUGGUAAACUUCUGUUAUAAAGGAAUAAAGUGAGGCACGUGGGCCUUUGUGUAUGGAGUUUAUGAAUAAGGAACGGCUAACUCCGUGCCAGCAGCCGCGGGAAUACGGAGGAUCCGAGCGUUAUCCGGAUUUAUUGGGUUUAAAGGGAGCGUAGAUGUGUUGUUAAGGCAGUUGUGAAAGUUUGCUGCUCAACCGUAAAAUUGCAAUUGAUACUGGCAGCCUUGAGUACAGUUGAGGUAGGCGGAAUUCGUGGUGUAGCGGUGAAAUGCUUAGAUAUCACGAAGAACUCCGAUUGCGAAGGCAGCCUACUAAACUGCCACUGACAUUGAUGCUCGAAAGUGUGGGUAUCAAACAGGAUUAGAUACCCCAGUAGUC
rnacentral:rRNA from 1 species